GACUCGGUGGCGUAGUUGAUUAUCGCAUCUGUCUUACAUGGAGGUGUUCCACCAUGUAAGUUGCACAGAAGGUCCCCAGUUCGAGCCUGGGUCGAAUCA